rnacentral:rRNA from 1 species
UACGAGGGAUGCAAGCGUUAUCCGGAAUUAUUGGGCGUAAAGCGUUUGUAGGCGGGCGAGUGUGUUUAAUGUUAAAUCUUAAAGCUCAACUUUGAAAUUGCGUUAAAAACUGCUUGUCUUGAGUAUGGUAGGGGUAAAGGGAAUUCCCAGUGUAGCGGUGAAAUGCGUAGAUAUUGGGAAGAACACUAAACAGCGAAGGCACUUUACUAGGCUAAUACUGACGCUGAGAAACGAAAGGUAAGGUAGCGAAACGGAUUAGAUACCCGUGUAGUCUUACCCGUAAACUAUGGACACUAAACGGUAAAUUUUUAAUUUACUGUUAAAGCUAACGCGUUAAGUGUCCCGCCUGGGGAGUAUGCUUGCAGAAGUGAAACUCAAAGGAAUUGACGGGGGCCCGCACAAGCGGUGGAGCAUGUGGUUUAAUUCGACGGUACACGAAGAACCUUACCAGGAUUUGACAUGCUAGAUAGUUGCUUGAAAGAGUAACGUGCCGUAAGGAAUCUAGACACAGGUGGUGCAUGGCUGUCGUCAGUUCGUGUUGUGAAAUGUUGGGUUAAGUCCCGCAACGAACGCAACCCUUGUCUUUAGUUAUUUUCUAAAGAGACUGCCUGUAAUAAACAGGAGGAAGGUAAGGAUGAGGUCAAGUCAUCAUGCCCCUUAUGUCCAGGGCUACACACGUGCUACAAUGGGAAAGACAAUGAGCUGCAAAUCUGUAAAUUUAAGCAAAUCUCUUAAACUUUCUCGUAGUUCGGAUUGUGGGCUGCAACUCGCCCACAUGAAGUUGGAAUCGCUAGUAAUCGCCAGUCAGCUAUAUGGCGGUGAAUCCGUUCCCGGGCCU